UAUCUGUCUCUCACUCCUUUUCCUAUCUAUUUCUCCUUCUUUCUCUCAUUUUUUUUAUCUCUUUCUCUCUCUCUCUCUCUCACGUUUCUGUUUUUCUUCCCCCUCUUUCUCUUCUUCUUCAUUCACUCUCUUCUCCCUUUUUCUCUUCAUCCUCGAAACAAAAGGCUACAGUGGUGCGAACAGGGGAGAAGAUGACGAAAGGCUAAUCUGGCGACGAUGUCGGAUUCGUAACGAACAUGUGGUGGUCGGCCACUGUUUAUGCAAUUUGAAGGUAAUGUUUUAUACCUUCACUCCAUGUUGCUUUUGAUAUAUUAUGCUCUUCCUCUUCAUCCUUUUUUUUCAGAUCCAACACUUUUGUGGCUUAGGUUUUCUAGAUCCAACACUUUCGUGGCUUAGGGUUUCCAGAUCCAACACUUCCAAAACGUUCUCUCUCUUUCUCUGCCUCUCUCUUCCUCUUUCUUUUAUCUCUCUUUCUCUGAUAUCGUUCUUCUGAUGAUUUCUGUGCAGAUGAAUAUGAUGUUGAUGGCGAUGUUGAACACGUUUGCUGAUGAUAUCGAUGAUGUUGAUUUUGAACCGCUGAUGGUUGUUACUAAGGGUUACGGUCGAGAAAUUGUUCGGGUUGUUGGUGACGCUCAAAGUCACAGCAAAUUGGUGAGAUCUUUCUUUGUUUUUCGUGUUUUGAGUUCUCUAAUUUCUCUUCUUCUCUCAAUAUUUUCUUACGGUUGCUUUAUAUUUGCAGCUUAGAAAUGGAACACUUACUGGGCGAUGACAAUAAAGACAUGCACCAGGGUAUGUCAAUGGGUAAAAGAUGUUAAAAAUGAAAUAUUUUUACUAAGAGGUAACCCCUUUUCAUGGUGAUUUUAUUUCCAAUCAAAUAAUGUAAAACAUGUAAGAGAAAAUUUAUUUAAUGGUUAUUGAUGAGGAUUUCCUUGAAAUCUGCGGAAUGGAGGGUUCGUUUCCAUCGGGAUUUAAAUGGGGAUCUAGAAGAGAGGUUCUCGAUUGGCCGACGUCGGUGUUAUCAAAGCAGCAUCUGCAGGGCAAUAGAAGUGUAAGGCAUGCUCACUAGCUCAUGAGAUCUCAAAUGGUAAUGUUAAUGAAUUAACUGAUCUUUCUCUGCAAUCAAUCGGUGGAUGACAAUAUUCAGUCCUUUGUUUAUGUCAUGGGCAAUGGAGAGAACCAUUAUGUUGCAUAUUUAGAUGAUACGUAUGAAGACACAAGGGGGCUGAAAAGGUAAAACUAAGGUGGUUUCAUCAUAAAUGUGCGGGACGCGAACGCUGACUCUUUGGUCCCGUACCAGAAUGAUGAGGUUGUCGUAGGGAUGUAUUUGGUGGCGACGUCGAGUUCUGCUUGAAGUUGUGGGGCUCUUAGACUUUGGUGCAAGGACCGAUUUGUUAUAGCAGCGGGUUUCUUGGAUAUUUUCCAAACUGGGUCCGAUACAAGCUUCUAAAUUCAUUUUGAAUUUCUGUUUGGAUUUAAUUUGUGCAGGGAGUUUCCUCUUGGAGCUGCGGAUUCAUUGUUUAGGUCUACGCGGUUUGAUGUGAGUUUUCGAACCGGUUCGAUUCAGUUGGGAUGAUGUGCAACUGUGUUUUUUUUGGCACAUGGUCUGAUUAUGCUUAAAUUAUGCAGGCUUGGGUUUGAUAUGCUGCAAGUUCUUUUAUUUAUAUGAAUAUGUUGUUUGAAUGGGGUUAAUUGUUUGGAAAUUUUCUUGUGUAAGUGCUUAUGGUGUACCAAGUGAAGCAAGGUUAGCAUGAUGCAUGCCUCUGCUCAACGUUGCGGUUUCAUACGUAUGCGGGUUGUAUGGUAUAUGCAAGGAUUUUGUAUAAUAGUUAUAGGUUAUCAUAGUUUUGUAGUUCUUGAAAUGAGUAGCCUGUAGCUCACAGUCUGCCUUGAGUAUGCAUGUGGUAAUGAAUUAUGGAACUUUAUUUAGCUCUGAAUUAUAUGUGAAUGACUGGUAUAUAUGCAAAUUCAAUGGUGAAUGAAAACUGAAAUUGGAUGGCACGACUCAGUGGUUGUAUGUGAAUUUUGCUUGGUAUUGGAGGCCUUAGCAUAAUGUUCAUUAAUAUUCAUGGUGGUUUACUGUACUAAUGUGGGAUAGUAUAUUUGUUUUGUGCAAAUUAAUUGAUAUGGCCUGUUGGAUGUACAUGGUGUGAACAUGGUUUCAGUUUGCAUCAGUUUGUAUGGCAAGUAGCAUAAUUUAUGCAAGUACGGUUUGCUUCGGAUACUGAAUAUGUGUACUCUUUCUUAUGUCGGGCUGAUUUUGGUGAAUUGAAUCAAGGUACAUAUAGAGCUGAGGUUCUGUUAUAAUUGUUUUGUUAGUAUGAGGUUCUGUUAUAAUUGUUUUGUUAGUAUGAAUUAAAUGCAUACAGUUAGAUUUAAGAAAUAAAGAUAUAUUUUAAUUAUAAAUUCUAAAUAUUAAAUCUAGCAAAAAAUGCAUAAAUAUUUUUCUCAAUGAUUAAAUGUCUUAAAUCUUAAUGAUUAUGUAUUUCAAUAUUUUUACUGUAAUAUAUAAUUUAAGAACUAAUUCAUUUUCAUUUCCAAGAUAAUUUGUGAUUUUUCUUUUUUAAGAUAGUUUGUUGUGACUGUGGUAGCUAUUAGAUUACCAUUCAAUUGCACCAUACACAAUCACUUAGACCACGUUAAUAAAGUGAUUGA